rnacentral:rRNA from 1 species
GACGAACGCUGGCGGCGUGCUUAACACAUGCAAGUCGAACGGAAAGGCCCUGCUUUUGUGGGGUGCUCGAGUGGCGAACGGGUGAGUAACACGUGAGUAACCUGCCCUUGACUUUGGGAUAACUUCAGGAAACUGGGGCUAAUACCGGAUAGGAGCUCCUGCUGCAUGGUGGGGGUUGGAAAGUUUCGGCGGUUGGGGAUGGACUCGCGGCUUAUCAGCUUGUUGGUGGGGUAGUGGCUUACCAAGGCUUUGACGGGUAGCCGGGCUGAGAGGGUGACCGGCCACAUUGGGACUGAGAUACGGCCCAGACUCCUACGGGAGGCAGCAGUGGGGAAUAUUGCACAAGGGGCGGAAGCCUGAUGCAGCCACGCCGCGUGCGGGAUGACGGCCUUCGGUUUGUAAACCGCUUUCGCCUGUGACGAAGCGUGAGUGACGGUAAUGGGUAAAGAAGCACCGGCUAACUACGUG